rnacentral:rRNA from 1 species
GUGGGGAAUUUUGGACAAUGGGCGCAAGCCUGAUCCAGCAAUGCCGCGUGCAGGAAGAAGGCCUUCGGGUUGUAAACUGCUUUUGUACGGAACGAAACGGUCCUGGUUAAUACCCGGGGCUAAUGACGGUACCGUAAGAAUAAGCACCGGCUAACUACGUGCCAGCAGCCGCGGUAAUACGUAGGGUGCAAGCGUUAAUCGGAAUUACUGGGCGUAAAGCGUGCGCAGGCGGUGCUGUAAGACAGGCGUGAAAUCCCCGGGCUUAACCUGGGAAUUGCGCUUGUGACUGCAGUGCUGGAGUGCGGCAGAGGGGGAUGGAAUUCCGCGUGUAGCAGUGAAAUGCGUAGAUAUGCGGAGGAACACCGAUGGCGAAGGCAAUCCCCUGGGCCUGCACUGACGCUCAUGCACGAAAGCGUGGGGAGCAAACAGGAUUAGAUACCCCUGUAGUCC